GGAGGGUGCAAGCGUUAUCCGGAUUUACUGGGUUUAAAGGGUGCGUAGGCGGGCCAUUAAGUCAGUGGUGAAAGCUCCGAGCUUAACUCGGAAACUGCCAUUGAUACUAUUGGUCUUGAAUUCGGUCGAGGUUGGCGGAAUGUGUCGUGUAGCGGUGAAAUGCUUAGAUAUGACACAGAACACCGAUUGCGAAGGCAGCUAGCUAGACCGACAUUGACGCUGAGGCACGAAAGCGUGGGGAUCAAACAGGAUUAGAAACCCUGGUAGUCCACGCCCUAAACGAUGAUUACUCGAUGUUGGCGAUACACUGCCAGCGUCUAAGCGAAAGCAUUAAGUAAUCCACCUGGGGAGUACGAUCGCAAGAUUG
rnacentral:rRNA from 1 species